UUUCCCUUUUGCGGGGGGGGGGUUCCGGGAAUUUUUAUUAGAACGAGAAGCUGUGUAUUAAGAAAGCUGUUCUUUUUAGAAUGGUGGCUUACAAGAAGUAAUUUUAAAUGAUACAGAGGUGAUGAUUGCACUUGAAAACAAGUGUUUCUGUCAGUAGAACUCUCAACAGUGUUUCCCAUUGGUAAUGCGUGGGAAGGUCCAUGCCAAAGGUUAAUUCCAGAUUCGUUCAAGAUUAGUUCCUGGGUUUUUUUUUAUUUUUCUUUUUAUUCCUUCUUUUUUACUUAAAAACGCCAAUGAACCACUGGAUUCCCUUGUUAAUGGAGAUGAGAAGGCACUGCAUCACUGGAUUUUUUUUUGAAUGGUAUUCCUUGUUGUGAAGUUGAAGGAAAUGAAAUAGAAAGGAGAAGAGAGCAGCUACUUCUACCAGAAUAUGAUUGGGCCGCCCAUUCCCUGGCUUCCAUUAUGAUUUCCUUUCUUGCACUUUCCUAACAACCAAACAGAGCCCUCAUAUCAACUCUUGUAACUUCUGUAUCAUCUCUCUCUCUCUCUCUCUCUCUCUCUCUCUCUCUCUCUCUCUCUGUGUGUGUGUGUGUGUGUGUGUGUCUGCUUUUUUCAUUCAAUGCUACUGGCAAAUUGUGAGAAGAAAAUGUUGUUUAGUGGCUACAUUAUAUGCUUAUGUUUGAGGUUAUGCAUCUUUAUAAUAUCAGUAGGGAUAUGUUGUUUAUGUAUUCUAUGAGCUUGUGAGCAAGGUGGGACUGAGAACAAAUAUUUUCCUAGGAUGGAUUGUGGAGAUUCAUAAACUUGUAUAGGCAUUUGUUAGGCCUUGAACUCCUUAUCCCAGCACUUCUACUUUCUUGCGUGCAUUAUGAAUGUUGCUCUCCUGUCCCUCUUCCUUUUGUAGGAACUUAAGAUAUGCUGUAUCUUUCUUUCCUUUUCUAUUAUAGGAAUAGACAGAGCUGUGAAAAUGUCAUCUGGAUAAGCUUGGUAAUAAAAAAAAUAAUGGUGGAAUUUUGUAACAAAUCGAAAUUGAUUGUGGUAAAAGCAUUUACUUCACCUUUCCUUCUUUAAUUGAGGUCUGUGUCUAUAGAAGAUGGAAGAAUAUCAUGAUAUAGCAGUCACAUUGCAUCGUUCUAUUAGUAAGUUCAUUGAUGAUAGAAAAUGAAUGUGCAAUACCUGUGUGAUAGAAAGCAAUCUUUAGAUUAUCGGCAGUCAAAUAUUGUAACACAAAGGAGAUUAAUGGAUAUCGCUUACCCUGGCUUAGGUGUCUCUGUCUAUUCCUGUGUAAGUUAGCAUGAUUGUUUUAAAAGAGUGAAGUGCGUAAGUCAUCUACAAAGAGAGAUGCAAUUCAAACUGCUUGUCAUAUCUAACUAUACAGGAUUGAGUUAGAAAUCUUAGUGAAGCCUCUAUUCAUAAAACUCCAGUUUAGUAUAGAUUGAAGAUAGCCUCAAGUGGUGGAUAUCAAGUGUGUUGCAAGUAUAGCUAAAAAAAGCCUGUCUGGUUGUCUCUUAUAGAAAUCAGAUACCAUUUUUGUUGUCAUUGACUUUAAGCUCUUUUUUGUUCUUUCUGUCUGCUUUAACAUUGUUCAUUAUCCGGCUAUCAGGUAAGAGUGAACUUGAAUGGAGAGGAGACAGAAAAGGCAUUUGAUGAUGUUGUGUCAAAUUUGGCCCAUGCUGCACCACCUAUUCCAGGGUUUUGUAGAAUGAAAGGAGGUAAGCUUUUGCAGGUAAAAGGCAAUCUGUUGGUAGCUGUGCUGUGCAACCUUUUAUUUGCUAUAAGGUCAUAAUGUUUACUUCUUUGUUCAACAUCUUUGGUCAUCUCUUCCUCCUAGCAACUAGAGAUAGCAUAAUUCCUGCAUAUCCAAAUUUGUCGAAAUUUGGCUCGAGACUUUUCCCCUCUGUGUUCUCUGGAUGACUCAAGGAACUUCCAGAACAUGUAACAUCCUUUCUAUUUGUUGAUUAUGCCCAUAAUUUUUUCAACAAUUGGAACUGAGAGAAAUAAGGGAACAAUGCUGUUUAUGAAUUGAUUAUGAGUUUUCAUUUUGUGAGUUGAGGUUGGAUAAAAAUUACGCACUAGAUUAAACUCAAUGUUUGAUAGGUGGAAAGGAAGAAUACUGCUUGUAGUUUGUUGCUCACCAAUGUGUUAUGAUUUUGGGGUGGCUGAUAAUACUUCAGCAUGUGCUAAAACUCCCAUCUCAGCGAGAGUUUCGUUCAUUUCUGCCUUCUCCAUAUUUUUCACUUUAACAAUUCAUAUUAAUACACAAUGCCCCUUUUUCUUAAGUUGCUUUCUUUCUGCAUAUAUUGGCCUAAACAUAUAUCUUCGUGCGAUAUGACUGUCAAGCUUGGCUGCAAAUUCUUUGUAGGUCUGAAAAAGUUUUCUAUUACAGGUCUUUAGGAGAGACCAUGUUGCCAAAUUCCUUAUCGAUGAACUUGUGGGUGUAACCAUUGGAGACUCUGAAAAAGGCACGCCACUCUUAAACAUUAUUAUGUCUUAGUUUUCUCAUAAAUGGGUUGGGUGAGAACUGUCUUGACUUGCUAUCAGAUCAGGAAAAACUGAAGGUAUAGAGCCAGUUUAAGAUAACACAACAACUGAAGAGCUUGAAUCAGCUUUUACACCAGGGGGUGAAGUUGGAUUCAAUGUUGCUAUUGAUUUUGAGAAAUCAGGUCUUGAAGCUACCAGCUCAGGCUCAUAAUGUUUACUUCUUUCUUCAACAUCUUUGGUCAUCUCUUCCUCCUAGCAACUAGAGAUAGCAUAAUUCCUGCAUAUCCAAAUUUGUCGAAAUCUGGCUCAAGACUUUUCCCCUCUGUGUUCUCUGGAUGACUCAAGGAAAAAAAUCCAAUAUAAGUGACUUCUGAAUAUCAUCUGCAGUUAUAUAUGAACCUAUUUGUGCUUUCGGCUUUUAAAUGCUCUUGUACUUGAACUUCUAGAACAUGUAACAUCCUUUAUUCCUAUAUGUUGAUUAUGCCCAUAAUUUUUUCAAAAAUUUGAACUGGGAGAAAUAAGGGAACAAUGCUGUUUAUAAAUUGAUUAUGAGUUUUCAUUUUGUGAGUUGAGGUUGGAUAAAAAAUAUGCACUCGAUUAAACUCAAUGUUUGAUGGGUGGAAAGGAAGAAUACUGCUUGUAGUUCGUUGCUCACCAACAUGUUAUGAUUUUGGGGUGGCUGAUAAUACUUCAGCAUGUGCUAAAACUCCCAUCCUAGCGAGAGUUUCAUGCAUUUCUACCUUCUCUAUGUUUUUCACAUUAACAAUUCAUAUUAAUACAAAAUGCCCUUUUUUCUUAAGUUGCUUUCUUUCUGCAUAUAUUAGCCUAAACAUAUAUCUUCGUGUGAAAUGACUGUCAAGCUUGGCUGCAAAUUCUUUGCAGGUCUGAAAAAGUUUUCUAUUACAGGUCUUUGGGAGAGACCAUGUUGCCAAAUUCCUUAUCGAUGAAAAUGUGGGUAUAACCAUUGGAGACUCUGAAAAAGGCACGCCACUCUUAAACAUUAUUAUGUCUUAGUUUUCUCAUAAAUGGGUGGGGUGAGAACUGUCUUGACUUGCUAUCAGAUCAGGAAAAACUGAAGGUAUAGAGCCAGUUUAAGAUAACACAACAACUGAAGAGCUUGAAUCAGCUUUUACACCAGGGGGUGAAGUUGGAUUCAAUGUUACUAUUGAUUUUGAGAAAUCAGGUCUUGAAGCUACCAGCUCAGGCUCCUCAUUGGCACUGCACCAGUGUAUUCAUUUUAUUAUGCUCGCUUAGUUAACAAAAAAUUAGAAAAUCAUUCUUCAAGGGUGUGAAUUUGGUUACUUCCCUGAAGAACAAAACAUAUCUUGUUCAAAUGCCAUAUGUUUGGUGGAAAACCAAUGAUUUGUUAUAGCCAUGCCGCCUAGAUGCUUAUGGAGAUUUUCUUAUUCAUGAAUUCGAUCUUGUAGCGCAUGUAGUAAAAGAAAGUGCUACAUUUUCCA